CUCCCCCUCCUCCAUCUCCCCCUCUCUGUGCUGAGGAUCCACAAUCCAUGAGUACAACACCAGUGUGUUUGUUGUCACCACUAACACAGUCCCGGGCCGCAGUACUAUUGUAGUUCCACACUGCGGGGUAGUGUCAGUCCACCAGUAGUAACCUCCACCAGUAACCCGGACCCCCCACGCACACAGUGAGACCCCCAGUGACACUCACAGUGCCCCCACCCCCACACAUACAGUGUGGCCCCCACAGCGGAAUGUGAAGUGGUCUUUCUUUCAGUCGCUUCACUAUGGCAGGCCGUGGCGGAACGAGAGUAAACAGGUCGCCGAGUCUACCUUGGACCAGGUCGAUAUCAAGGAGGCCACAUCUGGAACAUCGCAUGCAGGAGAUGAGAUUAGAGGAGGUGCAGGUGAACAUCUGUCACAUCUGCUGAUAGUCACGGCCCAAACCUAGACAAGACAAGUCAGUUCCUGCUACAUUGCUCCCUCUGGCUUCACAAUCUUCAACUCUUCAACCUUGUCUCAUAACCUGCUCUUACCCCCAGCCUCUGUUCCAACCAUUUGCUUAUCGAUAAGAAGCCUCCUUGUGGCGAUCCCCGGAAAUGAUGACACGACGCAUUCAGUGACGCAUCGGGCGACCAAUUCUGUCAACAUGUUGGCCGACGACAGAAGCCAACAGCGAGCUACACAUCGUCUGACACACAAGGGAACAAACAGGAAAACAUGUAAACAAAGUGUUUCACUGUAUCUCUGUACAUGUGACAAUAAUAAACUAUUACCAAAACAAAAUAUAUUAGUGAUCAUUUUUGUUUUGUGUACUUGUCACAAAUGCUGCAAUUUCCAUCUGACCACCCAUUUGUUCAAGAAAGUGAUGUAAAGAAUUCAGAAUUCUGCACUGCUUCACAACCAAUAUGUACAUUUAAAUCAUUCAGUAUAUCAGUCUUUAUAUGCUACACUCAGAACUCGAAAAAUAUCGUAAUUGCAUUUCUUUUCUGCAUUUAUACAGUUCGAUUUCACCUAACAUCCUUCAGCUCUGCAACCCGAUAUUCUUGCCCAUGUGCACAAUAGAAACUGAGAAAGAAAUGGCGGUGAGUCAGCAUGACCUACUUUUAUUCCUUUGUUUCCUAAUUUGAAACUAUUCUUUGCCGCAUAAAACCAUGUCUCAUGCACAAUAGACAAUGCCCUCACUAUCAAGGGAUCCCUAAUUCUGUACAACUCUUUGAAUCUGAAACCUUUUGGUGUUUCACAACUUGACAUGCAAACCAGAUGUGGCAUGAUGUAGCCUUUCCUUCAUAGAUCCUAGUAGAUAUAUUUUGGUCCCGAUCAACAGAUCCCUUUAUGGUCCGCAAACAAGGAAUGUGAAGAACUCACAGACAU